CUCAGAAACCAUCACCCCCUCGUGUGGAUAGUCCCCGGGAGGCCCAGAGGUGACUCUGAAAAUAUCAGAGAGGAUGUCCUCCAGGAACACUCUGGGGCCAGACAUCCAUGGGGCAGAGGUCAAGAGGGGGUAGGGAGGGCAGGGUCAGUGCAGGUUCCCAGGCUUAGGCAAGGAAACGAAGAAAUAAAGCAAGAGGAAGAACAGACGUCGCAAGCUUUCCCUGUGCAGCCGGGUGGGCGGCAGCGACACCCAGGGAGGGAGGCUUGCUGCUUGGAUGUGCUGCUGGCUGGCUUCCUGGGCUGGAGGAGGAAGAGGCUGCUCUCUCAGCCUUUGCAGAUGAAAUUCGGAGGCACAAAGGCAUAGACCAUUCUGCCCAAGGCCCUUUGCCCUGCUACUCCCCAGCUCCCUGGAAAUAUACUUAAAGCACUGGACAAUUACUGAAGAGAUAUUUCUGGCAGAGGAUGAAAGAUUACAUACAAAGUCUCAGACUUACAAUGGUGCAACUUAGGAUUUUUUGACUUCAUGAUAUGCAUUCAGUAGAAACCAUACUUCGAAUUUUGAAUUUUGAUCUUUUCCGGGGCAAGCGAUAUGCAGUAUGAUACUCUCUUGCAGUGAGCUGCAACUCCCAGUCAGCCAGGCAACCAUGAGAGUCAACAAUGAUACUGUACAGUGUACUGUGUUGCCAGAUGAUUUUGCCCAACCGUAGGCUAAUGUCAGUGUUCUGAGUGUAACCGAAUUGCGGGUUCAGUCACUUGCUGCUUGUAGAGUCCGAUGAACAAGAGCAAAGUCUGAUAUAAAGAAAGUGACUUUUUGCCAGGCUUGCUGGCUCACGCCUAUAAUCCCAGCACUUCAGGAAGCUGAGGUGGGCAGAUCACCUGAGGUCAGGAGUUCAGGACCAGCCUGACCAACAUGGAGAAACACUGUCUCUACUAAAAAUGCAAAACUGGGUGGGCGUGGUGGCACAUGCCUGUAAUCCCAGCUAUUCACGAGGCUGAGGCAAGAGAAUUGCUUGAAUCCAGGAGGCGGAGAUUGCUGUGAGCCGAGAUGGCGCCAUUGCCUGGGCAACAAGAGUGAAACUCUGUCU
rnacentral:lncRNA from 10 species